rnacentral:lncRNA from 1 species
AGAAAGAGCUGGAGUCCUUUAAAAUCAACUGCCUGUUUUUCUGUGGCUAGUGAGCCUUCUCUCUCCCUUUCCCAGGCAUUGUGAAGACUGUUUCUCUAGCUAUGCAGCUGUAAGGUCACUAGACAGAUAAUCUCAAGUCAUAAAACAUGUUGUUCCUUAAAAAUAAAAAGUAAUAUAAUGCAUGUCUCAGUUAAAUAACUGUCUUUGCUUCUUGUUUCUAUAAUAGGCUUCCCCCUGCACAGAUCUCCCCUCGCCCCACAAAAUGCUUAAAAGGUAGCUUAACUCUGUUCAAGGCUGUGUCCUUUAAAUGUUAAUCUGACUGGUUUGGUGCAUCUAAAUAAUUAAAUAAUUC